rnacentral:rRNA from 1 species
CCUACGGGUGGCAGCAGUGAGGAAUAUUGGUCAAUGGGCGAGAGCCUGAACCAGCCAAGUCGCGUGAGGGAAGACGGUCCUAUGGAUUGUAAACCUCUUUUGUCGGGGAGCAAAAAGGCCUCGUGAGGCCACAUGUGAGAGUCCCCGAAGAAAAAGCAUCGGCUAACUCCGUGCCAGCAGCCGCGGUAAUACGGAGGAUGCGAGCGUUAUCCGGAUUUAUUGGGGUUAAAGGAUGCGUAGGCGGACUGGAAAGUCAGCGGUAAAAUCGAGAGGCUCAACCUCUUUCCGCCGUUGAAACUGUCGGGCUUGAGUGGGCGAGAAGUAUGCGGAAUGCGGGGUGUAGCGGUGAAAUGCAUAGAUAUCACGAAGAACUCCGAUUGCGAAGGCAGCAUACCGGCGCCCGACUGACGCUGAGGCACGAAAGCGUGGGUAUCGAACAGGAUUAGAUACCCUGGUAGUC